GGCUGCAGUGAGCUGUGAUCGUGCCACUGCACUUCAGCCUGGGCGAUAGGGUGAGACCCUGUCUGAAAACGAACAAGAGUCAAGCUUGAGAAAUCCCUUCUGAGGAACCGAUGCUGGUGGGGGCCAGCACCGCUGGACAGGCCUGUUGGUAGCUCCUAGUUCUGUCUGCUGCGGAACCCAAACCUUCCCAGGAUCUGGGUCGAGCCUGGCUGCUGCUCAGCUCGGCUUCCCUCUGCAACCUGAGAGCCACAAGGCCGGGACGGCCGGGCUGCGCCUGCUCCAGUGGCCUGCCUUGGGGGGGCUGCGUGUGUGCUGGCUGCGGAAAUGGCACUUUUCUUCUGAGAAUGAAUGUCCUGCCCCCCAUGGCUGGUCCUGCAAGCACGGGGUCCCACUGCUGUCCCUGCUUCUGCUGUGCCCACCCUUCAGCCCCCACGAGCCCCGGGCGGUGGGACAUCUGUUGUUACUUAGUCCUGUCUUCUGAUAAUUGUGGGUUUGUGUUUGGAUCUGGCUGUGGCCAUAAUACAGUGGUGGGGUUCUAGAAGGAGCCGCAGCAGUGGGUGAACGUGGGCGGAGGUAAGCUGACUUGCGGGCGGUGGGAUUUUAGAGCACGAUUCUCUGCUGCUGCGGAUGUGACGUCCGCUCCCGCGCUGGCCGCUGGGGGGCGCUUGGGGCCUGGUCCUGCCGUCCCCCGACCAGGCCACCUGGGCUGGUGUGAACACAGUGUGAGCACAGCCUGUGUCUGCGUGUUUCAGGGUUAAGGCCGUAUUUCAGAAGGGGAAAUGUGAUGGCCGCCACACCCUGGAUUCCAGAUUCUUUUCUAGCCAGACUUAGCCGGGAGCUCAGUGCAGUGAGCUCUGUCGCACACGCUCGUGCCCUCCUCACCGUGCACGGCCCACAGGGGAGGAAUGGCGCCCACGUGCCCAGCAUGGCUUUGAGCACGGUCUGCUCCGACUGCACUGCCGAGUGGCCCAGUCAGCUCUGCGUCAUCGCCGCUGGAGGUGGCCGAGCUCAGCGAUGACACCGGUAUUUCCUGGCAAAGCUGAGGUCAAGCUGAAACUUCUCGUGGGGUGUUCAGCCACCUGGAGUGGUGACUUCCCCUGAGACCCCGUGCUCAGGACAUCGCAGAGCCUUAACUGUCGGUGCUGCACACGUGGGCAGGAAGGGCAGGGCCCAGCUACCUGGGCCACUGCCGCUAGGAGGCGUGGCAACGGGACUGCGCACGAGGGUCUGAAGGUGGGCGGGCUGAGAGGUGGCCCUCGGAGGCACUGGAUGCGAGGAAGGCCAGGGGUCUGCAGGCUGCACCCCCAGCUCCAGGACUGGCCGUGGAGGCCCCCAGCAAACACUUGGUCGGGCAGGCACAUGGGCCCUGGAUGGGCUGGGCCCUGGCCUGUGCCCAGGGGACAGUCCUGCUGGGGGUCAUGGGGGGACCACGGGCCAGCAGGACCUGUUGGGCUCAGCCUCUGGGCCCAGCUGUGGGUUUUGCUGCAGUGCCCCGUGCCCUGAGCCACCCUGUGUGUGCUCGCUGUUCCACCCCUCCUCGCCCUGCCGUCCGGAGGGAGGGCGGGAAGAUGGCCUGGUGCUGCUGGGGUGCGGGGCGGGCAGAGCGUUGUCCUGGAGUGUGCGGGUGUUGGCAGAGCACCGUGCCAUGCGCCAGGGUCGGUGGUCACUUGCUCUCGGCCCUCGGGAGGGAGGGUCCUAAGCUCAGCCUCCCCUGGUGUCCGCGGUGACUUCCUUGGGGCGUGUCCCACCCUGGGACGGAUGCAGGGGGACCUGGAGACUGGCUGUGUCCAGGGUGUACACCAGGGUGUGGGGCGUGUGCCCCAGGGUCCCCUCACGCUUCUUGGCUGCCGCGGACCACCCAGGCCUGCCGAGGGAGGGGCCUGCGGGGCUCUCGCUGCUGCUCUUUGAGAAGAUGCGCUGUCCCUCCCGUCCGCCCCGCACUCCUAACGUGCAGUGCACCUGACCAGUGACCACAGCUGGUGCCAGGACAACGGUGUGCCCUCUCCCGGGUCUGGGGACACACGUCUGAAAUCCAGGUGUCCAGGGCCACACUCCCUCCCUGGAGCCUCCUUCCUGCCUCUUCCCGCUCUGGUGGCUCCAGACACUCCCUGGCCCGUGGCCCAUCACUCCCGCCCUGCUGUCCUCAGGAUGUGUCUCUAUAAGGGCACUUGUCAUUGGACCUGGGCCCCGCAAACCAGGAUCUUACCUCGAGAUCCUUAAUCACGUCUGCAAAGACUCCUUUUCUAAACAAGGCACCAUUGACAGGUUCCAGGUGGACAUAAUUUGAGGGUCGCCAUUCAACCCACCUGCCUAAUGUUAUUAAAACACUGUUAGAAAAAAAUGGUAAUGUGUUGAUCUCAUCUUCUUAGGAUGAGGUGACGGGGACUGGAGGAAUCCGGGCGAGCCUCGGGCAAGCUCGGCCCUCCUGAGGGCCCAGCGUGGACGACCUGGGCAGCCUGACCUUUACCACGGCUGGACGUGGCUGUUGCCAGGAAUUCAGGAGCUGCCAGCUGGUGCCCUGCUCAGACCUGGAUCCGCCCCUGCUGCUGAGUCCCCUCGGCCAUCAUGCCCCAGGCCGGCCUCCCUACACCUGUGGGCACUGAGGGCUGUUUCAGCCCGGUGCGGGCCCGGCAAGGCGCCCGUCCCUCUGGCCACCUGAAGCUGACUUCUGCAUCACGUUCUGGAGAAUUCAUCCUUCUCAAGAUCAUCUUGCCCCCCAAAUUUGGAAGAUCCACAAGAAGACAUAGUGAGCAGUUCUGCUGAGUCACUUGCCUUUGGGGGCACAGUGGCUCACACCUGGGAUCCCACACUGUGGGAGGCCAAGGCAGCAGGACUGCUUGAGGC